rnacentral:rRNA from 1 species
AUUGAACGCUGGCGGCAGGCCUAACACAUGCAAGUCGAGCGAGCGGCGGACGGGUGAGUAAUGUCUGGGAAACUGCCUGAUGGAGGGGGAUAACUACUGGAAACGGUAGCUAAUACCGCAUACCAUCGGAUGUGCCCAGAUGGGUGUAGCUAGUAGGUGGGGUAAAGGCUCACCUAGGCGACGAUCCCUAGCUGGUCUGAGAGGAUGACCAGCCACACUGUAACUGAGACACGGCCCAGACUCCACCGGGAGGCAGCGGUGGGAAAUAUUGGACAAUGGGCGCAGGCCUGAUGCAGCCAUGCCGCGUGUAUGAAGAGGGCCUUCGGGUUUUAAAGUACUUUCGGCGGGGAGGCGUUACCCGAAGAAGAAGCACCGGCUAACUCCGUGCCAGCAGCCGCGGUAAUAC